GGGGUUGUGGCUCAGUGGUAGAGCACUUGCCUGGCAUGUGUGAAGCCCUGGGUUCGAUCCUUAGCACCA
rnacentral:tRNA from 1 species